AGAGAGCGAAUAUUGGCACAAUGGGGGAAACCCUGAUGCAGCAACGCCGCGUGAGUGAUGACGGUCUUCGGAUUGUAAAGCUCUGUCUUUAGGGACGAUAAUGACGGUACCUAAGGAGGAAGCCACGGCUAACUACGUGCCAGCAGCCGCGGUAAAUAAA
rnacentral:rRNA from 2 species